GUAGGUCACAAGCGUNGUCCGGAAUCACUGGGUGUAAAGGGAGCGCAGGCGGGAAGACAAGUUGGAAGUGAAAUCCAUGGGCUCAACCCAUGAACUGCUUUCAAAACUGUUUUUCUUGAGUAGUGCAGAGGUAGGCGGAAUUCCCGGUGUAGCGGUGGAAUGCGUAGAUAUCGGGAGGAACACCAGUGGCGAAGGCGGCCUACUGGGCACCAACUGACGCUGAGGCUCGAAAGUGUGGGUAGCAAACAGGAUUAGAUACCCUGGUAGUCCACACUGUAAACGAUGAAUACUAGGUGUUGGUGGGCAAAGCCCAUCGGUGCCGCCGCAAACGCAAUAAGUAUUCCACCUGGGGAGU
rnacentral:rRNA from 1 species